UGUUGUACUUGUGAGCAAUUUCCACAGCGAUGAUCCUGGGAGGGCCUUUGCGAUCCUCAAAGAAUAGCCCGUACCUCGGCAAGAACGUCAGUGCGAGACGACUCCUCCGAACCCACAUUCCUGGAAAUCCUGUGCCUGUGAGACGCUUGGCAGAGGCCAGGCAUUACAAGAACCAAGAAGAAAAGCUCAGGCCGUGGAAAAAUAAGAGCUCCUCGGAGAGAUGAUUUUGACCGUCUGCGUAGGAAUUGCAAAACAAGUAUGUGUAGGAGGCAAAAGCUUCCACCGACCACACAAAUCCAGAAGAUGUUCCUCUCGAAAUCCUGCCAUCUGCAACAGAAUCAACAGACCGAUUGCAAGGUGUGGGCAAAACCAAAGAUGUCAACCACAAGGAGUGAAGGGUAGCGACUGUGGUUUGAUCACCUAUGAUCAAACGUAGAACUGUUUGGCAUGCGAUUCUCACACUUCAUUUUCCUCCGUCACAACAAAUGCUAUCACUCAGAAAUUUGAGUAGUUCUUAGCUUACCCCGAAUACUUUCUUUUCUUCAUGCUGCUCAUUCCUGGCCAUGGAUUCUGCAAAGUGAAGGAGUUCUAAAACUUAGGUGAUCAACCUCGAUAGCUACUGUAGAUAUUUCUCUCUGUAAAUUAACUGGAAAAAAAAAAUCCCUAGAAGCAAACAAAGCUUCGCAGCACGUUGACUGGAAACCAUGUGCAUUUACA